CUCUAGCCCUUCCAUAAGCAAUAUCUUUUUGUGCGAACAAUAAAAGAUACAGCGGAUAGCAGGAUAAGCU
rnacentral:sRNA from 1 species